UGACAGAAGAGUGUGAGCAC
rnacentral:miRNA from 1 species